CCGGAGGGCCGGGCUGGUCACCUCCCUCCGCCGCCGCUCCCGCCAGCCUUUCGCCCAGGGCAUAAAUGGCCGUCUUGCAGCGGGCGGGGGGGCUGUGGCUGGCGCUUCCCCGCCUUCAGCCCUCCCUCUCGGCAUCUGACAUCUCCUCCCGCCGGGCUGGGCGAGAAAGUGGCUGUCUGCGAAAGUUAACCGGCCUCCCUGCGCACUCUGGAGAAGCGGCGCCGCGGGCCGUGCCCGACCGCCCGCCCCGGCGUUGGGGUGGUGCUCAGGGACGGGCGAUACGCAGAAGGGUCGGUGGUAAAAUGAACACAAAGCACCUGAGAAUUAUUUUCCAGUGAAGGCUCCUCCUGGUAAACCACACACAUGCCAGAAGUCUCACCGGCUGCAGUGAAGUUAUUACGCUGAGAUACGUUCUGCAGACCAAACCAUACCAUUUGGAAAUUACAGCUCUGACUCUUAAAAAAAAAAAUUCCUUGUUGCGGCUCCUCGUGCCUGGGCAGAGCCCAGUGGGUCUAAGUUGCCAAACUGCAGCUUCUGGCCAGGCAGGGUUUCACUUGCAUCUAAAAUGCAACCAACUACCUUUGUGGUGGCAGAUCAGGGUUGCACUGCACAGCUGCACUUGAGCAAUCAUACUUGGUCAUCCUUGGCUCCAACUCAGUGAGAACAACAUGGCUUUUUUAGUUGCGUGCCUUUCCAGUACAACAACCUAGUAGCUACUCCAGUUACCCCUGAAAUUCAGUGGGAAUCUCUCCAGUGAUUUAAGCAGUAAUGGCAGCCAGCCCUGAGAGAGAAAAUCUAAAUUACAAAAAAAAAAAAGGGGGGGGGUAAAUAAAAAAGAAAAAUGCACAAAAAUGCACUGAGACAGCCAGAAAUGGGAUUCUGACCUUUCUGACCUGUUGAAAUUUGUAAGUAUCUUCAAGCUGAUGUUGCCAUCCCCAGACUCUAUAUGACCCUGGACUCUCAAGUUCACUCAUUCUUCUUUCCUUAAUAGGCCACAUGACCCAACUCAGAAGCAAGGGCAUUGUGUUUCUCAGGCUAUGUUAAUUCCUUGCUCCAGAGAGGAACUGGGCAGCUACACCAAUAUUACAAGAAGCUAAACUUCUUUCACCACACCAUGUCUGUCUGGAUCCGGUAUAGCUGGUGGGGCUUUUCACAUACAAGCGACAUGGAAUCUGCCAUUUAUUACUUUUUCAGACAACACUUGUGGCUGAGUCGUCACAACGACUCAUAUGUCAAGUACUUGAACCAGGAGGUCUAUGAAGUUCUGGGAGACAGUCUCAUUUCUGAGGCAUCCAAAAUAGUACAGGACUGCACUACAUUUGCUUGUAGAAAUAUCUACAGAGAGUAUGUCUAGGACUGUAGUAUAAAAUGACCUUAAUGCAUAUCUUUAAUUAUAACCAUAACUAAUGCCAGUCACCAGUAGGAUUUAUACAUCAUAGGUUAAACUGGCACAAAGAGACCACAGGAGGUUUGUCACUGGUUUAGGGUACAUCUCCGACUAUUACCAGACCUCAAGGAAAGGACUAACUCCUUUCCAGAGAUGUUUCUAGGGUGCAGGAAGUAUGCUUAUAUCAGGGACAUAGCUGUGUCUGCACUGAAGGAGUGAGCUACCAAGAUUCGUGGAUAUUUGAACAAGCUCAGAUAUGCUGAAGAGGAUGGUCACAAAAAGAGAAAAAAGUGCCAAGAAACACAGGGCACUAAAAAGUGUAAUUAUUUUGUAACGUAACACAGAAGUGUGAUUUCCAUUUGAUUCAUUGAAAAAAACAAAACCAACCCAACCUAGUAGCAAUCAAUUUAUUUUUUUGUACAUUCAGAUUCUGAUGAAAUGUUUGUCUUCUCCAGAUUGUUUAAAGUUCUUGGAAGAAUGUUCCAAAAAGCUUUUCUGAUUAGAUUUUGAGAGCUCUGUGGAGAAAGAAUCACACAUGUACCUGAUUGCUUCCUUGGAUCAAUGCCCCUGCCCUUUAUAGCAUGCUCUGGUUGACUGCUAGCCAUGCAGACCUCAGGGAAGAGCUGGAUGGCACAGAACUGUGAUUCAUGCCAGAAUCAGAGACUUCACAUGCUGAAAAUAGAAAAGAGAAAUUAAAAGCCAAAUUUUUUAAAGUC